CGCUUCACUGAUAAUGACGAGGUCGGAGGUUCGAGUCCUCCCGCGCCCACCA
rnacentral:tRNA from 1 species